AGAGAUGGAGUGCAUCUGCCCCAAGUGGAGGCAGCAGCAGCAGCAGGAGGGAGGUGUCGGGGCAGUGGGGCCGCAGGGCCAGUCCUCAGGUUGGUUACUCAGUUGUCCUCCCUGGUCUGUCCUCAAGGCGUGAUUUGGGCUGGGGUUCUGGCUGCCGUCCAGCCCUCCCUGGUUGCUGUGAGCCUGGCUCUCUAGCCAGCCCUAGAAGUCCGUGAGUUAGUUCUCUGUUGCUUGCAACCAAGAACCCUGACAAGAAAGAAAACUGGCUCAGAGAGGCUGAGUAACCUGCUCAAGAUGACACAGCUUGUGGGUGGCUGAGUUGGCCUUCCAACCCAGAUUCCUGUCAUGUUCCUCAAGCCGACAGGUUCAGCUUGGUUGUGACCUCUGCUAGAAGCCCUCCCUGGCCUCCCUGUGCACUGAGCUGGUGGUUCCUCCUUUGCGCCCCAGUGCAUUUCCCACUCUUCUCAGCUUGGAUGGUCUGCAAAUUCUACCAGCCACAUAUCCACCCAAGUUCCUGAUAAACAUGUCGAAGGGGCCAGGACCAAAGCUGUGUAAGAAGCUCUCGCCACACCACCACAGGCAGGCCUCAAGGCCCAGCGCCUGAGGAGUCACAAAGCCUGCAACCUGAACUGCUUCACCCUCCAGGCCUGCAUGGCAGAGGACGCUAUGAAAGGCUUGCUGGAAUCCAGCCACGGGAGCCUGGCCAUUCUAGUGUCCUCCCUCAGCCCAUCAGCCGGACACGGAGGCUACCUGGAUCAGAUGCUGAACUCCUUCAUGGCUUACUGCAUUUUGGAUGGACAAACCCAUCUUUUCUCAGUGCAUGUCCAGAACUGUGGUAUCAAGUUCACAGAUAGGUAGAGCAGGUUUCUCUCCGUGCCCCUUCCUGAGACUCAGGCCUCCUUGGUGACUAUGCUGCAGUUUGGCAAUCUCUAGGCCAGGAGACCUAUGUAUGUAUAUACCUGUGACCCAGAAGAUAGGGUGGAGGUAGGCAAGGAGUAGGCAAGGGGUGGAGAGUUGGGGAGAGGCGAGACUCGUGGGAAUUUGGUUUUCCUUAAGGCUGGAGUUUGGAAUAAGUGGUCAAUGUAACUGGCCGUAAGCCUUGGAAUGAAACUCCUCCUUUCCCACUGGCAGAAAGGGCUGAGCCGCCGCCUUGCACAUCCCAGGCUGGAACUUGAGCCGCGCAGCUGGCUGUGUGCAAAGUGGGGAAAGAGGGGAAGAGGGGACUCUAACAAAAAUGUUCUGGGCCUGGCUGGGAAUGCUGAGCACAGAAAUUUGAUCGGGGACUGAAACAACUCCAAAUGUUUCCCACAUUUCUUGGAAAUGGAGGCAUUCUCACCAGAACCUGGGUUUUCUUUUGAAUAACACUUCCCCCUAAACCUGUCCCCCACCCUGAGAGGGUGGGAGUUGGGACGGGAAGCAAGCAUUUACCAUGCCAUCAGCGAUCCUGGGCUGUUUGUCUCUGAAAUUACCAUCAGCCAUUAGAAGGGAAAAGUGGGGAGGCUUUGCAGAAGAGGUGCAAGAACCACCCAGCAACCCCAACUCGCUCCGCUGGGCUGCUGAGGUCCAGAGAUUUAUGUUCCUCCCUCUGCCCUGGUUCUAAAGCUCCUCCUCUGAGUUCAAGCUGAGUGGAGCUGCCUCCUGCCCUCCAAGGGCAGCUGUCCUGCAGCUCGCCCCUCCCUUUCUCUAGCUGUCCACCCCUUUGGCCUCUGCUCCCUGACUCCUGCUCUUUCAGGGGCCAUGGGAGAGAGAGGCCUGACCCCUGGAUUUUCACUGCCACCUCUUAGCCAUUAGCCUGGCGCCUGAGGCCCUCGUCACACCCCAGGCUAUGCUUGGGGCUGGGAGCCCUUUGCUGCCCACGCCUGCCCCUCUCAGGAGCUGGAAGAAGCCGCUGCUAUGAUAGAAGUUUCCAUCAGAAAAAGGAGAGGAAGUGAAGGUUGCAGAAGGAGGAGAAAACAAAAGCUGUGUCAGUCUUUGCCCAUGUCCAGAUCUGGAGCCGGACAAUCGCCCCUCGGGGGCUCGGCUUUGAGCCACAGCUGUGUCUGCCCUGUGGAAGGAGGAGCAGCCUCCCCCCACCUCUGGUUUUCCAUGAGGUGGAAAUGGGGCACCUAAGGAGAGGCACGAGCAGUAACAGAACCCUCUUCAUACAUAUUAUGCCCCCCAAGAAAGCGCGGGGCCUGGGUUCAGGUCCACUUUGUCAUGAGCUGACUCUAGGGGACAGGCCCCCACCCGGGCUUCUCUCUCUUGUGGAUGUGGACUGUAUGGGUACACAGGGUUGUGCCAGAGGUUCCAGAUGCUGCAGGACAAGCAUGGCUCAUCCUGGAGAGCAUCAGGUUUGCCAGACUGUAGGAAGAAAAGCACCAUCAUUUUUAUAUUGAAGUAGCCAUGUGUAUAUUAUGAAGGAAGAUGCAAAACACAUAUCAAUUUUUAAGAAAACACCACUUUUCCAACAAAUCACACCAUUGGAGCCCCUUGAAGCUACUCCCUCGGAUGCUCACUCUCCACUCCCUUCAAAUACACCAGCCCUCUGUGCCUCAGUUUCUUCGGCCAAGAAGUGGGGUAGUGUUAACCCCACGUAUGAGGAAAGGCUGGUGGGGCUGGGUGGAG
rnacentral:lncRNA from 1 species